UCCGAUCGACGAUCCGAACACACCAAUGGACUCAAAACAAUGCACUGAUGAUGAUCCUAGCUUCCGAUCUUCCGAUUCGACCCCCAAUCAUCUGAAGAGAAUUAUGGACGAUCUCGGUUGUCGAUUUUCAAACGGAGUCCGAUCGCCACGAAACCAGUGCCAUUGGAAAGCUUGAGCUGAGGGGAGUCUGGAUAUGCCCUCCGAUCAUCCAUCACUCACCGAAGCUCACCGGAAAAGCCUGAGAUUCCCGGCUUCCCCUAAGUAAAUUUUCUUCACCGGAUCACGCUUUUUCGGCAACCACAGGGGGGGAUGAUGGGCAAAGAAGAAAGCUCACUGGUCGCUGGUCAUUUUGAGACCAUAACCACCCAAAAUGGCUGCCGGAGACGACCUCAAUGACAGCGAGAAGCUGUUGCCCUUCUCCGCCUAUUUACUACCACAUGGCGCCGCCGGAGUUGUUGCCGCCUCUUCCACCAAGCUCGCCGGUCUCCGUUGUACCUCCGGCCCACUUCGUCGUGUCCUAGACAGACGCAAAAUCCCCGUCUGCCAUGGAAGCCGACCUGAGCUCCCUCCCCCGACUUGUUCUUCUUCUUCCUUUUUUCUUCUUUUCUUUU
rnacentral:lncRNA from 1 species